rnacentral:rRNA from 1 species
UUGAAGAGUUUGAUCAUGGCUCGGAAUCAACGCUGGCGGCGUGCCUAACACAUGCAAGUCGAACGCGAAAGGGGCUUCGGCUCUGAGUAGAGUGGCGCACGGGUGAGUAACACGUAGGUAAUCUACCUUUGGAUGGGGAAUAACAACCGGAAACGGUUGCUAAUACCGCAUAAUGCAGCGGCACCUAAUGGUGACAGUUGUUAAAGCGGGGGAUCGAAAGACCUCGCGUCUGAAGAGGAGCCUGCGGCGGAUUAGCUAGUUGGUAAGGUAACGGCUUACCAAGGCGACGAUCCGUAGCCGGCCUGAGAGGGCGGUCGGCCACACUGACACUGACAUACGGGUCAGACUCCUACGGGAGGCAGCAGUCGGGAAUUUUGGGCAAUGGGCGAAAGCCUGACCCAGUAACGCCGCGUGAAGGAUGAAAUCCCUCGGGAUGUAAACUUCGCAAGAACGGGAAGAAUAAGUAGGGGACAAUACCCCCUAUGAUGACGGUACCGUUUGUAAGCUCCGGCUAACUCCGUGCCAGCAGCCGCGGUAAUACGGGGGGAGCAAGCGUUGUUCGGAUUUACUGGGCGUAAAGGGCGCGUAGGCGGCCUGUGCAAGUCAGUUGUGAAAUCUCCGAGCUUAACUCGGAAAGGUCAACUGAUACUGCUCGGCUAGAGUGCGGAAGGGGCAACUGGAAUUCUUGGUGUAGCGGUGAAAUGCGUAGAUAUCAAGAGGAACACSUGCGGCGAAGGCGGGUUGCUGGGCCGACACUGACGCUGAGGCGCGAAAGCUAGGGGAGCGAACGGGAUUAGAUACCCCGGUAGUCCUAGCCUUAAACGAUGAAUGCUUGGUGUCUGGGGUUAUAUAGUCCCCGGGUGCCGUCGCUAACGCUUUAAGCAUUCCGCCUGGGGAGUACGGUCGCAAGACUGAAACUCAAAGGAAUUGACGGGGACCCGCACAAGCGGUGGAGCAUGUGGUUUAAUUCGACGCAACGCGAAGAACCUUACCUGGGCUUGACAUGCACAGGACAGGCGUGGAAACACGCUCUCCCUUCGGGGUCUGUGCACAGGUGCUGCAUGGCUGUCGUCAGCUCGUGUCGUGAGAUGUUGGGUUAAGUCCCGCAACGAGCGCAACCCUUGCCCUUAGUUGCCAUCAUUCAGUUGGGAACUCUAAGGGGACUGCCGGUGAUAAGCCGGAGGAAGGUGGGGAUGACGUCAAGUCCUCAUGGCCCUUACGCCCCGGGCUACACACGUACUACAAUGGCCGGUACAGAGGGUUGCAAUGUCGCGAGAUGGAGCUAAUCCCAAAAAGCCGGCCUCAGUUGGGAUCGUAGUCCGCAACUCGACUACGUGAACGCGGAAUCGCUAGUAAUCGCGGAUCAGCACGCCGCGGUGAAUACGUUCCCGGGCCUUGUACACACCGCCCGUCAAGUCAGCCGAAUUGAGUGCACCCGAAGUCGCUGCACCAACCCGCAAGGGAGGGAGGCGCCCAAGGUGUGCUUGGUGAGGGGGACUAAGUCGUAACAAGGUAACCA